rnacentral:rRNA from 1 species
UAGUCUGGGAUACCACUUGGAAACAGGUGCUAAUACCGGAUAAGAAAGCGGAUCGCAUGAUCAGCUUUUAAAAGGCGGCGUAAGCUGUCGCUAUGGGAUGGCCCCGCGGUGCAUUAGCUAGUGGUAAGGUAAAGGCUUACCAAGGCGAUGAUGCAUAGCCGAGUUGAGAGACUGAUCGGCCACAUUGGGACUGAGACACGGCCCAAACUCCUACGGGAGGCAGCAGUU